CCUACGGGAGGCAGCAGUGAGGAAUAUUGGUCAAUGGCCGUAAGGCUGAACCAGCCAAGUCGCGUGAAGGAAGAAGGAUCUAUGGUUUGUAAACUUCUUUUAUAGGGGAAUAAAGGUAUCCACGUGUGGAUAUUUGCAUGUACCCUAUGAAUAAGCAUCGGCUAACUCCGUGCCAGCAGCCGCGGUAAUACGGAGGAUGCGAGCGUUAUCCGGAUUUAGUGGGUUUAAAGGGUGCGUAGGUUGUUUUUUAAGUCAGGGGUGAAAGUUUGUGGCUCAACCAUAAAAUUGCCGUUGAAACUGGAAGACUUGAGUGUGUUUGAGGUAGGCGGAAUGCGUGGUGUAGCGGUGAAAUGCAUAGAUAUCACGCAGAACUCCGAUUGCGAAGGCAGCUUACUAAGCCAUAACUGACACUGAAGCACGAAAGCGUGGGGAUCAAACAGGAUUAGAUACCCCAGUAGUC
rnacentral:rRNA from 1 species